rnacentral:snRNA from 1 species
AUCAUCAAUCUUGUUAUAAGAUU